AUUGCUAAAUAUUAUGGGAUUUCUUGCUAAUUUUGCUUCAUUAAAUUAAUGAUUUUUAUUUUUUGUCAGGAAUCGCCGAUAUGCUUCUUGACCUGCUAGUGAUAAGGAAGAGGCAGCAACACCAACACGACGGGCAAUAGGCGCUCGCAACACAGGUCCUCUAAUGAACACCGCGGGAGGCCAAACUUGAAGUGCACGUUUCUGUUCGGAGGAU